rnacentral:rRNA from 1 species
UACAGAGGGGGCAAGCGUUAUUCGGAAUUAUUGGGCGUAAAGGGCGCGUAGGCGGCCUGGCAAGUGGAAGGUGAAAUCCCUCGGCUUAACCGAGGAACUGCCUUCCAAACUGCUUGGCUUGAGUCCGGGAGAGGUGAGUGGAAUUCCCAGUGUAGCGGUGAAAUGCGUAGAUAUUGGGAGGAACACCAGUGGCGAAGGCGGCUCACUGGACCGGAACUGACGCUGAGGAGCGAAAGCCAGGGGAGCAAACGGG